UGGGGAAUAUUGCACAAUGGGGGAAACCCUGAUGCAGCGACGCCGCGUGAGCGAUGAAGUAUUUCGGUAUGUAAAGCUCUAUCAGCAGGGAAGAAAAUGACGGUACCUGACUAAGAAGCCCCGGCUAACUACGUGCCAGCAGCCGCGGUAAUACGUAGGGGGCAAGCGUUAUCCGGAUUUACUGGGUGUAAAGGGAGCGUAGACGGAAUUGCAAGUCUGAUGUGAAAAUCCGGGGCCCAACCCCGGAACUGCAUUGGAAACUGUAUUUCUAGAGUGUCGGAGAGGCAAGUGGAAUUCCUGGUGUAGCGGUGAAAUGCGUAGAUAUCAGGAGGAACACCAGUGGCGAAGGCGGCUUGCUGGACGAUGACUGACGUUGAGGCUCGAAAGCGUGGGGAGCAAACAGG
rnacentral:rRNA from 1 species